UGCCCAACAAAUUUAAUACCUUUAUUAAUAGGACUAGUUAUAAUGCAAACAGAAGAUUCAAAAAUAACUUUGUAUCAUUUAUCAUAAAAUUGACUGAUGCUUAAUAAAUUAUGUUUUAAACCAUCUACUAAUAAAAUAUUUUCAAUAUACUUGGAGGGAGUGAUACCAAUGUUACCUAUACAGAUGAUCUUUCCUUUGUCAUUGUCUCCAAAGGUGACCAUCCCUCCAUUCUUAGCAUCAAGUGUGAUGAAUUGAGAUUCAUCACCAGUCAUGUGUCUCGAACAUCCGCUAUCAAGAUACCAUUUUCGAUUUGCUCUUUAGGAUGCUAGACACACCUGCAGGCAAAAGUCAAGUUUUUACUUUAAGUACCCAAGCUUUCUUGGAUCCUUUUUGGUUAGUCACAAUGGUUCCUUUUGGAACCCAUAUUUUCUUUACAUUAAAAUUUAUGAAUUUGUUAUAAAAAUAAGUGUAUGACUUGUGACCUACUCUACCAUAUUUGAAGCAAGUAAUGUUUGAGAACUUGUUUCUUGAAGAGUUUACAUAGAUAUUUUUUAGAAACUUUUAUUUCUUUAAGGGGUUGUAGCCAAGACCAGCUUUAUCAUAAACGGCCUUUUGAUUUUCAAGGAUCAUAUUAAGUUUAUUUAAACUUAAGGUGAAUUUUUUAACUAUUGAUUUUAGCUUGGCAAUCUCAUUCUUUAAAUUCAGAUUUUCUUGAGAUAGGGUAAAUUUUUCAUUUAAAAUACUCUCAUUUUAUUUUAGUAAAGAUUGAUUCUUUGACUUUAAUUCUUUGUUCUUUACCCCUAACUUCUUUAGUUCAUCAAUUAAAUCAUAAAAUACUUCAUGAAGUUCUUCAAAGGUAAAGUCAAUAGGAGUUUCAGAAAUUACCUCAUUUUUAUGUGCCAUAAGGCNN
rnacentral:lncRNA from 1 species